rnacentral:lncRNA from 1 species
AUAAAGUAAUGAUCAUUAACGUUCUUCCUUGAGCUGCGUCACCCCGCUGUAGUCCGUAAUGGACUGGCCCGAGGUCUUGCUACAAACAAGUGGCUGCUGGAAGAGAGUAGGUGAGUUGUGUUUAGUCUCUUUGCUAAAGAAAUCAGGCAAAGUUACAAAGCUGUUGGCUGGUGGCUAGUACUGUGGCUGGGACCCUAUAUGUACUGUUGAUGAAGUUAGGUGCUGUUCUGAGCAUUAUUUGUGGCUAUAGAGUGGCGUUUUGGUUGAGGUUUGUGUAUGGUUCCAUAGACCGCUGUGUAUUGCUAUCGUGCGGUCGCUACUAAAGUUGGUAUAACUAGAGAAACAAGCGGUCGGCAACAUUCAUCUCUCGAGGGGGUGUCUAAUUCGGUGUUACAGUGUGUUUGACCCUUAAUCAAUUUUACGCCGGAAUAUUCCUUUAAUGUGAGUAUUUUUAGAAAUAUAUUUAAGCUUCUUUAACUUUGAGAGAAAUAUUUGAAAGACUGUUGUCGCCCAUUUUGGAGUAGUAUAACUGGUCAGCUCAAUUUGAAUACAAACAAUGUAAAUACCAGUUGUAGACGGAUAUGCACAAAAAAGUGAUUGCUUUUAUUGCACAGCAGUGGAGUAAAAAUAGUUCUGAUUGAAGGCGUUUUCUUGACAGCCUCAGCUGCAUAUGAAAAAUGCAGCAGGGCGGCAUUAUCAUUGGCAGGCGGUGUUUAUAGAAGUGAUUUAGGAAGUCUUGAUUGCUCCCCAGACAGCUAAGCAAUGGUGUGAAAGUUAUUUAUUGCGUCUGGAUAUGUAUAAUAGGCUUUUGAUUAGUUCAGGUAGGUUAUGGUGGUGUAGCAUGAGAAUAUUACGUGGGAGAAUGGGCUGCUGUAUUUCAGCCCUGAGCACUGAGAUGUUCUGGUCCCAUGAUGUUCAUGCUAUUGGCCGUCCACUUUUCAUCUUGGCCUUUAUUGCUUCUCCUCUAAGUGUUCAUUUCCUACUGUGUGAAAAUAUGUGCUUGUUCAUGUUUUCCAGAUGAAGCUGUCAUUAAUCACAAGAACAAUAAAGGUGCUUAAGUUUUCGAUUGGCGCACCAGGUUUGAAAUACUGAGUACAUAAAUGACUGGAAAUUAUACAAAAUGGUAAAUAGAUGGUUUGCCUUUAUUGGUUAAAUGGCGCAUAAAAUCCGAGCUUUAUUACUCCCCCCUUUAAAACCUCGCCUUUCUGCUCCACUAAUGUUGGGAUAACAUUUCCCCCACCUCAUACUGAAACCCAUAACCAAACUUUGGCUGAUCCUAAGUGGUGCCAUACCUGCUCUAAUGUUCCAAUAAAUGUUAGAUUAACAGAGAAAUGCACACAUGUAACUCUUCUGUCCUCAUAGCCAACAUUAACGUUAAAUCCUGUUCAUAGAAAUUUAGCAUUUUUAGCCAGCAAAACUAACUUGUCUGUUCAAAAAACCAUGGCAGUAAAAAACAGACUUUAAGAGAAUCCUGCUUCAGUAUCAGCCAUGAGUACAAAACAAUACUUGGCCUCAAAUUCUCUCACCACUUCAACCACACAUUUACAUUGUCAGGUAAGUGUUAAAGUUUUAUUGAUUGUAGGUUGUUUUGUAGUCUUGUAAAUGUUGUGUGUAUGAUCCCGUGAAUUUUAUAGCAGUCCUGUAGAAGUAGGGGACCGUACAAGGUAUUUUACCGAUAGUUUUACUCAUUUUUUUUAAAUUGGAUUGUUUCUUUGGGCGCCAUCUUCAGGGUAAAAAUUGCAAAGCAACAAAAUCUCUUUCUUUGCUUUUUAUACUGAUAAAUUAGUUGCACAGGAAAAAAAAAUAAGACAGACAUAGGAGAGGCAUCUUAGACAUGUAAUUUCAUGAUAAUUAUUGAGGUUCUGAUCAGUGGUAACUUUGUUAAUGAAAACUAUGAUGAUAAAUGCUCGUCAACGACCCAUUUUUCUAUGAUGAAGACGAGUCGAUGAUGAACUUAAAUACAUCACUGAUAACAAAAACUGUGAGGAAAACAAAUUUUAUUUUCAUAGAUGAGAAAAUGACUGAAUGAAAUAGUUCUAGGUGGAAAGUCAGUCUUUUAGAAUUCAAAAAAUUUAAAAUAGGGGUAAGAAGUUAGUGGGAGUGCAGUGUUAAUUACCAUGGUAACCACAGUUACGAAUCUUGUGAUCUAUUAUCUUAAAACAUAAUCUUAUUACAAAUCUAAUUAACUCUUUUGGACUAUUUUUGGCAUACAACCUUGUACUGCAUUUUAGAGGCACUGACAUAGCUGGUAUCACUAUCUUUACAAGUUCUUUACACAUAAUCUGUUCAUAUAUAUGCUGUCUCCGUAAAGGUGCUAUUUCCUUACAUUUUUCCAUUUUCAACACUCCAUAAAAACAUAAUGCAAUAACACCACCCACAGGAAACUUCUCUCUGGUCCUGCUGAGCCCAUAACAAUAUGGUGUAUUAAUUUUUUCCACUUUUUCCACAUACUUGCACACAAAUCUCUCCUGAGUGGCCAACCACCUGCUUUACAAACAGAGAGAAAUAUAAUGCCAGAAGGGAAACGAGCAAAAGGUACUAUCUUGGGUGAGUAGAGUCUUCCACUGCGCAUCGUACUGGGCAGUCAGUGUGUCUGCAGAGUGUUGAAAUAUGACCAGAAACCGAGUUAACUGACAUGUAUACAGUGUGUAUCUGAUUCCAGUAUCAGGGAAGUCCAAUAAAAAAGGCAUAAAAUACAAUAAACAAUCCCUGAAGGCACCAGAGAGCUUACAUUCUUGAUUUUAGCUAAAUCAAGUCAAUGCCAGGUCAAGAGAAAGUCAAAAUGGAGCCAAAUACUAUACUGAAGGAGUUUAGGGCACAAUUACACCCUUAAAUAUGACAACACAAACUGGCAACUACAUGACCAAGUUCCUGCACCAGAGUUUCUUUGUCUUGCUGGAUUGCGUUGGUCCAUUUCCUCCACUGUCUAUCGCCCUGGGCAGUCUGUAAAAACUUAAGCCUCACUUCCUUCUGAAUCCAUUUAUUCACUCAAUUGCACAGCAACACUUUGACGUUCCAGCAGUGUUUUGUUUUCCUAGUGUUGUAAAAGCACCAAAGCUGAGUGUUUAACAAGACAGAGAAACCAUGACACAUGUUUUUCUCUGCCUGUUUGCAUGUUGCAGAAACGGUUACAAAGAAAAAUGGAAAUGAGCUCCUUUGCUAAGUUCAAAAGAUAAUCUUUAUUCAUUUAAGGAAAUCUUGCUGGGAUCAAAAUCCUUCCGUCUGAGAAACAUGAAAACAAAUUAUAUAUUGGCCUUGGGCUGUAACAUGAUGCAUUUUGUUCUUGGUCGUGAUGAACUACUUUAAUAUUGUCAUCUAAAAAACAAUGUACAGACUUCAAAAAGUAGACAAGAGUGUGACAGUCUGUACAACAGCGUAAUUACCUUAAUUGAACUUAAUUACCUUAAAAAAGACUUGAAAGUUUCACAUACAGAUCAUUUCUACUCACAAAACUUUCAUUAAGAUAGUGUAACCAGGCAACAAAGUACAAGGUUGGAAAAAGAAAACCAAAUAAAAGUGCACUUCUGUAGUUCAAGUUUAAAGUUUAAGCCUGUAAAAAUGCCCAUUUCUACAGCAGAAUCAAACAAUUUUACAACCACACACAAAAAGAGCCUUGGUUCCUGUACCUCAUUUAUUAAGAAACAACAGUAAUCCAUGGUUAUACAUAAUAAAGGGCAUGACCGAUUGAACAGACAGGCGACUGCCUUGUAGAUUUUGUUGUUUGAACUCCAUACCUACACUGGUUAGACCAUCAUCUUUGGGCUUCAUAACACCUCUUUAGAAACCAUGGAUGACAUAUAUGAGACUAAGUCAAUGUUUUAUAAACUCUUUGGAUAUAACAGACGGGUCACCAGCCAUGAAACACCUGUGAGAGUUUUUUUUUUUUUAGUUUAUCCAACAAACAAAGAGUAAUUAUAGUUAGGUCAAUUCCUUAUCUAAAAAUAGACAUAUAAUAAAUAAAUAAAAAAGCUGCUUUCACUUAUAAACUAAGACGCAAUGUUAUUUGUUUUUGUUUUUUAUCUUCUUUUUAUCCACAAAACAGUACCUUCUAAUCCCACGCUUCCGCACUGUUAUUGGGUGGUAGCAAAUACCAAGAGGUUUGCCUUUAAGUGAGUUACCACAGUAUAAAAGCCACCUCUAUCCAUGUACACAAAAGUCCGCUUUGACUAAAUGUUCCACCAUAAAACAUGACGAUCCAGUACACUAAAUCAAGGAGUGCCUAUGCAAAAUCAUAACUAGCCUGUGAUUAUUUCAGGGAACUGAUUAAUUGUUUUUUAAACUUUAGGUGUAGAGUUUUGAAGACCAUCCACAGUGGUCACCGUGUUGGAAAUGCAGGCUCAACCUAACUUUCGGUCAACCUUGCAAGAGGCAAAUAGGUGGAUUUAAAGCUACAGCGUCCAUCAGUCAAGGCUACCUGAGUGAAAUGCCUUCUUUCUCUGGGCUUCAUACAUAAUAUAAGCAGUACCUUAAUAGAGAAAAAAAAAGUCAAGUUGUUUUUGAUCUUGAAAGUGAUGAAUAAUCUGGAUCUGGGCUGACACUGGAGUCUGUGGCUAACUAGCCUCUAUUUCAACUGACGUAUACAUUUAGCAACUCAGCUUAACCCUCCCAAGUGUUGCAAAGGGACAGAUGGCUGUGUUUGAUGAAAAACGGAUGUCUAAAACCCUUUAGAUCGACCUCUGUGGGCUUUUCUACGACAUGCCUCAGAGAGUAGCUCCCCACAGCAGUUGACAGCUUAUCUCAACACUUAAUAUGAUGUUCAACUGUUGGGAAAAGAAACACCCACGAGAUACCGAAAGCUUAUACCUGGUUUGACAUAUGUAUAAACAAAACAAAACCUGAGGUACUUCACUUUAGCUGCAGGGACUCUAUCCAGCCUCACAUGCAGAAUGCCCUUCAUAUUAGGACGGACAGCUUUUUGGAUGCGACUUGUGACACCAUGCACAUACACAGGCAUAAACACAGCAGAGGUGUAAACACAGCACACACUUCACACUGGAUUGUGUGUUCAUGCACGACCUUGAAUGCCACACUGAGCUGAUCACCCUGUGCAAACAAGCCUCUGUCUGUCACAUUCAAAUGUCACAUCCUCUCACUGGGACGCUCUUUUUAACUGACAUAUGUCACCUUCCAAUUUGCCAGUGGCCACUCUUGGCUAUUUUUCUCCUCUGCUAAUUGCUCUAGGCACCCUUUGCCAUCUUGCUCCUUUUUUUCUCUGGGAUUAGAGGGGAAAAAGCCCCCAAAAGAUGUACCAUGGUCCCCCUGAUGAAUAGACAGCUGCUAGAAUACCAAACAGACACAGCAGGGAGUCCUCUAAGUGACACAUCCAUAAAUGUCAUGAAACAAUGACAUCAAAUAUGAUCAGAAAGGGCUGCUCCGUGCUUCAAAAAUCAUGAUAGCGACGGCCCUGAAUACCCCCGAGAAGACAACCCAUCUAUACUGGAAAUCAAAGAACAAAUGUAAUAACUGACACUGGAAGAAUCUUUCAGUGAAAGUAUAUUUCCAAACAAAUGUCAACCUAAUUCAAUAACAAAACAGCUGAUAUUAAUAAAAUAUAGUCAGCAUAUCGAGCUGGGUUAGUGCCAAAUUUCAAAUCUACAGUGUCGGCCCAUUAUUCUUCAUUCAACACUAAGCAAAACACUCUUGUUACUCAGACACUCCCUUAGAAUAACUUUAUGUUUUUUAUUUUUAAGGCGUUUAUUUAAGCACAUCCCACUUGCUUCUCUUCUAAUAUCCAUUAAUGUGUUAUUUACAUUUCCAACUUAAAUUUUGUUUAUUUUAUUUAUUUAUUUAUUUUGCAUUUAUUUAUUUAUUUUCUGCAGGAUAGAAAGAUUCAGAAGAUCUUUUGUACCAACAGCCAUCAGGCUUUAUUACUCUUGUGUAAAUAGUAGAUAACUUUUAGAGACAUGUCAAGUGAGACAGCAGAUAGCUGAAUUUCCCUUCGGGGAUUAAUCAAGUUCUUCUUAUAACUCUUAUUCUUAAUUUUAGUUAAUGUACUACUUUAUCAUAGUUAAUUAACAAUAUCAUAAUAGUACUACAUUUUUCCUUGUGAUAUUACAACUUCAUUCUUUAAAUCUCAAAAUAUCUAUUCCCAUUUGGCCCAGUUCCCCUAUCAGAAAUUGAUGUAAUAAUUAUGGUAUUUUGGUUUUGGAUGUGCUUGUUGCAUGUUACUGUCAUUUCUAUUGCAGUUAAUAUUAUGAUUGUUGUUUGUCUGAUUGUUAUUGUUAUUUUCAUACCUGUUAUCACUUUUCUUAUUCUUCUGUUAUUGUUUUCAUUGUCUUGCUUGCAUUUUGAAAUAAUGGACAUCAUCUUUUGCUGACACUCACAAAAAUAAAAUAAUAAAAUAAACAAAAAUAAUAAUAUCUGUAGACACUGCAGGCAGGUUGUUGAGCUACACUAACAUUCUCUUAAAUCAUCUCAAAUAAAAACAUGAUUUUCCUAUUUGAAAUGACUGCAUAGGAAAUCUAAAACAGUUACUACCAAGUGUCAAGAUAUCAAGAAAAAUACAGUUUAAUCUUGCUUCUGACAUGAAUAUGUCUUGUUAUGAAUUCUAGGGCAUAGCAAGUAUAUUUUUCUAUCAAAAUCCAAUUCAAAUAUGUUACUCGCUCAUAUGUAUUGCAUUGUAAUGCACAUGGAUUAAUGGCUGGUAUAUCAUUAGAUUGCUAACUUUAAUCAUAUACCAAAAAUUUCAUUUUUCAUGUAUUAUUACACUUGUUAGUAUUAUGGUUGUAGUUGCUGAGCUGUUGUUGAUAUUGUUAUCCUUCAUUAUUGAUUGCAUUUGUCACUGGUUGCCAUGGCAGCGGCGUUGUUGAUGCUAUAGUUACCGGUGUCAUUGUUCCUGUUGUUUCCAUUGUAAUAGUCCUUGUUAUUACAGUAAUUACGGUAAUAACUGGCUGUGGAUUGAAUUGAAAUUUCUGACGGAGAAGCUAAGAGUUUGAAUUUCCAGCUCUUUACUUUGUUUUUUCUUUUUGUCUGCAGCCAGUGAGCAACCUUGAUCAGACAAAUGAUUUCAUCCUGUUAGCACUCUGUACAGUGACAAAGGACAAAGAACACAGAGGCGUGGUUGUCAAGGCAACAUGGUUAAAGAAGGCAAAAGGCAGACGUGUGUGUGUGUGUGUGUGUGUACACAGAUAUACACAGGCAUUGGCACAUAAGCACUUACUCAUUCACUGUUGGUCAAUGACAGCUCCGCCUGGCUGGAGGAUAUUCAAUCUAUGAGCGGACUCUGGCAGAGUCACAGUGCGGUCAUUAGAGGCGAUGGCAGGGGGCUACGUGCAAGGCUAAACAUACAGGCAGGACGCUCAGAGGCGCCGAGGGAGGAAAGAUGUGACGCAUGAAAGACACAGACGCACACACAGACACUCUUCGCUGCUGCAUGAGUAGAGCAUGUGACAGCCGCCGACGCUAACAUGCAGUACACGUGCUGCAUGUGGGAGAUUGAAGAAUCAGAGUUUUUGUUAUUGGAAUUGAAACUCCUACUCGUGCAAUGAUUACUGUCACAGAAUUAAAGCAUCUGUAAUAACACCAUGAUGCAUCUCCGUUAACCUAAACUGAAGCCAUAUGGAUCAUUCCUCCUGCUGUUUUGAGAUCUUCAUCCCUGUUAGCACACGGUUCCUCUCCAAAACACUGAAUGUGGUUUUGUCUCGGCAACAAAAGCUGUGUGGUUGAGGUAAGGAGGAAAGAUAGUGGUUUUGAGGAAUUCGUCCUUUGCUGUCCCUGAUUUUUCACUGUGAAUCCAAAACCACCAUCUUCCCUUUAUUGUAACUAAAGAGUCUGAGAGGCUUAACCACAAAAAAAGAAGGAAAAAAGAAACAAAGCUGUAAAUACUCAGUGUGGGUUUUUUAGGAAGACAAGUGAGAAAGCGGUGGGAGAAUACAGAGGAGAUCUAUUCACUGUUUACUCUUCACAGCUUGAACAUUCAAUUGCUUUAGAACAAACUGUAAACAAGAAGGAAGAUCUCCUUAGAAACCUUUUUUAUUUAAAUAACAUGGAUGUUUGUGACGCCGCAGGUUUCUGUUAGAGCUAUUUAAAAAAAGCAGUUUGAACAAAAAUGCAUGACAGCCUGUUGGCAAUCCAUUAUUCACCAGAUACAUAAAUCCACAACUCGAUCCAGACUGAAUGCAGCUCUUCUUUUACAUCAUCUGCUGCCUCACAGGUGAACCCACAUAAAUCGUUAUGAUCAUUUAUGAGUGUUUAUAACUAUAGUUAUACAGCGCUAUAACAUGAUUAUAACGCAUUAUACAUAUAUUUAUAAUGUGUUAUAGAAAUAGGCAUCAAGUGUUACCAUGAUGUCCCUCUACAAAGAUUACAGAAUACUGUUAUCACCGGUUUGAAGAUGCAUGUUGAUUUUUGUACACACGUGUUCUGUCUUGAGUGCACACACUAACCAGAAUUACUUGCAAACACUAAUGCAGCCACAGCAGGAAAGAAAUGAAUAAUCUGUGGCUAAUAGAAAAAUGCAGUCUUAUACAUAAAGUUUAAUUAGAUGAGCCAUUAUGUACCUAUUUGGAGUAAAAUAUGCCCCUGUCUAUGCAAACAAGUCUCAACGCAAUUAACACGAAACUUACCUGUGCUGAAAUUCUGACUUCCUGCUGAGAGAAGGUGGUAAUUGCGCUGAGGUAUGAAUAUAUGUUAUCACGCUCAAACUCUUCAAUAGCCAGGACAACGCAGCCGAUAAAUAUUAUGUUCACACAUAACGUUUGUCAAUAUUACCUUAAGUUAUUACUUUUGCAUUAAUUAGGAGAUACAUCAGUCUGGGGCUCAUUUCCUGCACUUACAGGCUGUGCUAUUAUGCACAAGGGAGUGUUUCCCGUAUUCAUCUGAAAAAUCUGUUUAGGUUAGCUUGUUUUAGAAAGUAAACUGGACAGAAACUGUGCUGUAUGUGCCGCAUUAGUCAUGAAUCAUCUCCACGAUGAAAUGAAAAUGUGUCAUCAGGACGUUGAACAAAUUUAGUAAAUUUGUUGAACCAUCAGGGGUGAUGUGUCCAAAUCACAGGUCAACUGUAGUCCACUGCACAGACAAUUUACACCAAUCAGGACACAUUACACCUCUUUACUUUCCUUGAGUCCUAGAAGAGCACCUUUUUCAAGUGGGGCAUAUUAAGUUUAUAAAAGGGAGCUGGAAAAAACAGAAUUGGUCCCAUUUUCUGAAAAAAACGGUAGUCGUGUUUGAGGAGAAUAUGAUUUAAGGUUGUAACAUGCAAUUGAAGAAAAUACUGGUGCAGUCAGUUUUCUGAAAGGACAGUUUGCAAAAGCAUCAAAAGCUCAAUAACUGACUAACUCCACCAUGAACAUAUUCAUCAGGAAAUGGAAAAUGAAGAACGGAUAAGUCAUCAUAAAUGUGUGAUAACAUAGAAAUAUCGUUUCCUCAGUAAGAGGGCUGAACUUGUAUUCUUUCUUAAGACACCCCAAGGCAAAGUUUCGUCAACAGCAAACUGUUGUCUUGCUGUCUGUAGUCUUUGCCCCCAAAGCUAUUGUUUUGCAUAGUUUCUUUAACCCCUGAACCCCGAACUGUUUGUAAUGUAAAUGUUUUGGAGAACUGUCGCAGUCAGUGGAAGUCACACCGUUUAAGGUCAGCUGAAUUUAUUCCACCCCAUUAAAGAUGACUGUGGCUGAUGCUGAAACACUGACUUUUCAAAACUCUGUUUCUCUCUCCCGGUGAAUUUUUCCUUGAAACUGUAUGGUCAUACUCCACUUGGAGUAAAUUUAUGCUGGUCCACACAUUUCCACACUGAGAGUUGAACUCUUAAAGCAGGUGAACUUCUCAAGAGUUCAUUCGUUCCCAAAAAAAAAAGAUGCAAGCGAGCAGGUAAACAGAGCGGUGUUAUCUCGCCGAUGUUUUUCAUUUAGUGUUUGUUACUUCACACAGUUAGACGCUCACACGCAGAGGACAUUAGUUAGCUCGUUAGGGACUUUAUUGUCCACAAUGUGGGAAACUGUCAUCACAUUCAGCACACAGGAUUGAAAACUGCACAAGACUUCACCAAGACAGAAAAAUUACCACUGUUAGAAAAAUCUUUCAGAGAUGACAAGAGGCAGACGCCAGAGUUCAGGAAAUGUUAUGAAAGUACAUUUAUAGAAUACAACCAAUGUGUCAAGUGGAUACACAGACAUGGUCCCUGAUUUGUGGUUUCAGAGUCUUUUAUCCUCAUUUUCUCAGUCUUCUUGGAUCACUGUCAUCAUUUCCAAAUAUCAUCAACAGGCAAUUUAAAUAAGUAACACUUGCCCUCAGUUUCUGUUUAUCAUAUGUCUGCUGUCCUUGCAACACAGUGACCUUGUCCUUUACAUUUAACUGUUUGGUACAACUUUUGACCUCCGACUAAUCCUAUAGAUCAAGCCACAUGCCUACCCUCUGUCACCUACCCCUGCAGUUUUGAAUCCCGUUUCUCCAACAACAGUCAAUUUCUUGUCCCUCUAGUACUUCAAUUUUAGUGUAGCAUGAGCCCCUGUUUCCAUUAAGAGUUUAGAAAAGCAAUGCCUCAGCCUCAGCAUGUCCAUUACACUUGACAAAAGCGAAUCAUCCUCAAAAGAAAUACUUCCUUGAGUUAGUGAAUUGAACCGGCUGCAGAGUCUCUAUAAUCUAUUUAUGUCUGUCUCCAUUAGAGGUCUGAUGGCAAAACCAUCAGUGUUGAGAAGUGCCAGAGGAAUGCCAUGCUAGAGCAGAAACCCUUAGUACCCCAGCGACAGAGCGCCCAUUGUUAAAUUUUGUGCAGACUUACAGCAUGUUUCUCCUCACUGAGAUAGUUUUCUGUCAAGAAUUCAAGAAUUACAGGAAACAGAGAUACAGAAAAAUUCACAUUCAGAGCAUCUUGGAGCAGUGUUGUGAAUUUUUUACUCAAUGAGGAUUUCAUGAUUGUCAAACCAUUUUAGUUUAGAGUCAAAUAAACUAUGACGUGUACUGGGAAUGCAAAGUCAAAGUACUCUCCUCAACCUAUGUUUGGAAAUGUCACUGGUCAAUCAUCAAUUACCCACUGGGAAAAAGACAGGUAUUACUGGUAUGAAGAUAUACUGCCAGUCCUGGAAAACUCCCACCAGUCUGUCAGCUUUACAACCCAAUGAUGUGGGAGCCAUCAUGGAAACCUGGCACAUGUCUGCAGCCCACAGCUGAAUGGAAGAUAUCCUUUAAAUGAUACCACCCACUGUAACAUGAGACCACAUACUGAUUAUACCUUAGGGGAAAAAAAGUAUGCUUGAGCACAUUCAUGACAAUCAAUAAGUCAAUACUCAAUUACAUAAUAACAUCUCUGGGUAUGUACCUAUUUCACUAGUAUGUGAACCUGACAUUAGUAAAAAUGAAUGCUCUCUGCAUUUAAAAACCACAACAAUGAAUAUAAGUAUACAAGGUUUUUCAAAAGUGCCGUUUCUUGAGAGUCUCAAAUACAGAAAGAUAAAAUAAUGCUUCAGAGAGCAGCAUUUGUGCAGCUUACUUCUGCAAAAGGGUUUCCUAUAGGACAAACUGUGAUGUAACAUAUAGUUUAGAGUUAAAUAAUUUAGUCAUUCUGUGUUUUGCUAGGCUGAUAAAUGAUUCAGACCUGGCAUUAAAGUAAAUUCAUGGGCUUGACAUUAACAUAUUUCUUAUAUGAAAAAGGUUAAUGCUCCUUAUCAAGGUCUGUGUUGAAAUUAUAUGUUUCUUUAAUGCUGAUCCUUCCUUACGGUGGAGAUAGCAGAGAUUGUUUUAUGGCUAAUGGUGAAAACUGUCCACAGCAGUGUUUAAUGUUUUAAUAGAGGCCUAUAUUCUAUUCCACGUUCCAAGUAUUCCAUUGGAAUCUCCUCUGAAUAAUGAAUGUUUAAUUUGAAUGAAAAACAGCUUUUACUGGAAGUCUGAUGAGUCAUGCAUUUACUAAAGAAACCCUUAUGGUUCAUUACAGUCAUUUAAUCCAGUCUAUACCACCCAUAUCCAUGUUUGAAAGUUACCCAAGUGCAAUAUAGAUAUCACUAGGAUUACAAACCCUGAUUACACUGUGGGUCUUUUACAUUAAUGAAGCCAAGCAGUGCAAAAGCUUAUAUAAAACGUGAAGAAAAUGAUGACUCUGGGUAAGCUUUUACUGCUUGCAGUAGAAACAGUUGCAGAAAAAGACCAGUCUCAAGAUGCAUUAUAUGGCAAUAUGGCAUACAACUGGCUUGAACCAUAUCUACUUUAAGGCUUUCUCUCUAUAUUUGAAAUUUUAGUCUGCAUUAUAGAAAAGUUCAUAUUUGAAAUAAAAUGAACUAUCAAGGUACUCUUGGCGUAACCUGACUAUUGCAUGUACUCUUGCCUUCUGAAAAUCAAUACAGAGAUAUUUUUCCACAAACAUGGAGGAUUUCCUCACUCAAACCAUCUUGAUCUGACAUCAAAACACCUGAAAAGUAAUGUGUGAAAGUAUUAUGGGUUCUACAUGUAGGACUAGUUUGACAGAUUGGCUGAUAAGACUGCCAACAGGCUGUUUGUUUCAUACGGACAUUGUGAUAAUCUAAGUCAAAGGCUGUCCUCAUUUUCUCCUGUGAUCUGAAAUUUGACAUCUUCUAUACAAGAGGGCAGUUUCGUUUAAAGCCUUAUUGUGCUGCUAUUUUCACGUUAUGGUACUUUUGUGUUCAACAUUGUAAAAGCCAAUAAUAACAUGCUAAUACAUUUGUGCCAUAAUCUAUAUAAUUUUAAAAUUGAUUUAAAAAGUGACAGCCCUCAUCGACUUACGUUAGAUGAGUGUGGUACAAUUAAGUUAAGUGUUGUCGAUAAGGUGUUUCUAUUUUCAUAACAGCCUUAUAUUUUCUUUAAGUCAAAAUUGGAGUAAAGAGCAGUGGUUUUACCGAACAGAUCCCUUCAUUUGUUGAUAUAAUUAGGGUUGUAAAGGGUAUCUCCAACACUUUCCAUACUCUUCCAUAAAGGCGUUAAACUGUAAGAGUUCAGAGACUAGAACAUGAUAAUGAUUUACAUCAAUUUCACGCUCAUUAAGCUGUAGUGUGACCCCCUCUGCUCUUUAUAGGAGUUUCUGCAUUCAUUAAAUUUCUUUCAUCAUCAUAUUCAGUGUUUCGUUUUCUUCUCUUUCCAUGUCAGCAUUCAAAACACUGACUUUUAAUUUAAGCCACUUAGCACUUCUGGUUCUUAAUAAUAUCAGUGACCUUUUGUUUUAUUAGACUGGCAAGACGACUUAUAGUCUAGUGGUGAUAUAUAAACUGAAGGGCUGCUCGGUUCAAGAGGCUUCAUAUGAUUGCCCCACAUAUGAGGAUGUUUCUACAUACUGGGGUUGCUACAGGUGGGGAUAUGGACAUUUAUGUCAUUCUCAUUAGUUAGACGCAGAAUUUUGACCUAGUUUAACAAAUGAAUUGUAUAUCUUCUAGUAAAGCGAGUUUUGUCGAUAAUUUGGCACGAAAAGUGAUGAUAACGUUGGAUCUAAGCUGUCUGGUUAAAUCGGCAUGUAACCUCUCGACUGGGGCAACCAGCAUAGGCAAGUGGUGGUGCUAGCUCUGCUAAGGUUAGCCACAAUUGGCAAACAAAUCUGACAUAAUGGACCCACAUUGCGCAAUGCUGAAAAUAUUGUGUUCAAUUUUAACUGUUUUCUGGGCGUUUUCUUGACAAGCCAGUUAGUCAAAAUUCAAAUAUUAGACAAACAGUUAAGGAAUUUAGCCACCUCAGAGCAUCCAACAAUUUUUUUUUCUGUUUUAUAGAUUUUUGAAAGAGUAGUAUGUGGAUAAAUUACUGUUAUUUUAAUUCUUUUUAAAGAAAAUAAUGCAGAGAAGCAUGUGUACAAUAGAGAUGCACUGAAUGAAAAAUUCUUGGCCGAUACCGAUUUCCGGUUUUAAAGGAGGUCUGACCUGCCAAAACCGUUUUUUCCGAUUUUCUAUCUAAGAAAUAAUUAUAAUCAUAUAAUAGACACCGUAUUUGUUUGGCUUGAGUACCCUUUCCCAAAUUUAAUACAAGUACCCCUCUCCCAGACAAUAUUUUGCUUAUAUAAUUGCGAUUAAAACCACAACUAAUGGUAGGCUAUAUGCUAUCAUAACCCCCCUUUUCAAGAUUAAAACCUCACAAAUAAGAAAUAGAGUGAGAAUUUCAACAGUGGCUCCUGAGCAGAUUUAUUUUCAACACUGACCAUAACAUUCAGUCCAGUUUACAGGUCAAUAACUAACUUACAUUCAAACAACAUUGGAAAACGUCCCAGCAUUUGCCUGGUACAAUGUAAUUUAUUGACUACCCCUCCAGCACCUCUCUCAAACGCUCUCAAACAACUCUGGCAGCGCUGUGUCAGAAAAGUACCGCCUACUUGGUAAUUCGUACCAUGGACUCAGGUGUUUCGUCAGAUUUACGAAGCCUUUAUCCUGUACUACGCUAAACGGCUGGUCGUUCAGUGCCAUGAACUCCAUUAUUUUCCUAGUGGUGGCUUUGGACUUUUCAGUGUUGAUGUCGAACAUAGGAGCCACGGCGGAGGGUUGUUGUGGUUGCUGCGACUCUGCUGCAUCCCUCCUCUUAGCGGCAGCGUCGUCCUUAUAUUUGCUAAACAAGCCUGGGUGCUUCUUUUCUAAGUGGCGUAUUAAGUUUGUUGUUCCAAAUGAUGUUGAUCCUCCACAGCUGACUUUUGACUUGCAAGUAUUACAAACAGCAUGUUUUGGGUCGCUCUGGCACACAGUGAAAUAAGUCCAUAUCACCGACAUGUUUUCUUCCUGAGUCUUGCUAGUUUUUAGCUGUUGUGCUCUGAGCUGAUACGUACCGCGCAUGCGCAAGCGGGUCAGUUUGCUCGGGGAAAACCGGCAAAUUACGACAGUGACCGGCUGGUCACUGGUUGGGGCCGGUUGGAUAUAAAAACGGCUUUUUUAAUCGGCGGCCGAUUAAUCGGUGCAUCUCUAGUGUACACUUAAGAGGUUUCACAUUUUGUGCUCAUUCAUUAAGUUAACAGCACAUUAUUACUGAUUUAUUUGGUUUUUCUGCUAAAUAAGUGAAGUAAGGAUAAAUUUUCCAAUACUCCAAUACUGUUAAGAUACACGGUAGGCUGAGGUCAGCAGAGAGAUGCUGGUAUGAAGAUGAAAAAGGAUUUUUAUGUAACCACCCACAAACAGUUUCAGAGAGUUAGUUUUUUCCUCUGUGUAAAACAAUGAUCAAUUAAUCAUGGCUAAUCUUUAGACCCUUUUAUGCAAUGAGUGAGAUUUGUCGGGAAAGUCAAACAGCAUCCAUUGCUCUCUUGUGCCACACAUUUCUUAUGUUUGUCAAGUUUCAUUAAUCUCUCCAUUCAAUCGCAUCCAGCACGGUCCUUGAAAAUACUUUCCAUUUUCACAACCAGUCCUUGGAGGCUCUGUGAGAAAUGUAGCGCAAAAGCGGGAGAGAGGGUAGUCAGCGAGAGGGAGGUGGUGAAAACUCCCAGAUUGAUUUUCCCAUCAUGACUUGAAAUAGCAUAUUUAUUGAUUGCUUAUAGGCAAGGAAAAGGGUGAAGGGUGAAGGUCUCGGGAGAUGGUGGAAUCUACGUAAGGCAAUCACCCUUUUUGCUCUGCAAAUGAAGGUCAGCAGAAGGUUCAAAAGUGACCCUUCUGCUGCAAAUAUGCAAUGUUUAUGGUAAAAAAUUAAUUGAUGUUCUCCAUUUACAAAAAGAUCCAUAAUGUUCCCACUUUACCUCAGGGAUCUUAGAGAGCUCAGCUGUUUUAAAGGUUAAAUGACCCUGAAUCUUUCACGGCUGAGCACUGUGGUAGUUGGUGGUGUUGUGUAAAUAUUGUAAGGGUUGUUUCAAGUUUAUUACACUAUUGACCUCAAAAUGUGCUUCAAUGUUGCAUCAGCUAUGGAGACUGUUUAAAUUCAUACAUGAAUGAGCGGCAGUCUCAACCGUUUUCUACUACGCUGUAAACACGGGAUCUAAUGUGGGAUUCUUCAGUUUUGGUAGAGCGCCUCUAGUGGACACUUGAGGAACUUUUAUACACUAACAUACUGGUUUAUAAGUAAGUCUUGAUGAGUUUUAAUUACCUAAGAAGACAUCAUAAAGUGUGUCACCUCUGUGCCAAACAGUCAUCUUUUAGAUAAACCCGAGGCACAAGUAAUUACUGAUCCAAGAAAUGCUAUUUCAAAAACAGACAUCUAUUUUACUUUCAUUAUUUCACCUGAGACUGCUUAGAGUUCACUCAGAGUGCAAGAACCAAAAAAAAUUUUAAUAAAUAGAUAAUAUUUAAUACUUCUAAUUUAUGAUUUAUGAGUAUUUCUGUCUUGAUUAUGAAACGUUCCAUCAAGAAGAGGUCUUUUCAACGUGGAGAUAAUGGACUUCGUCAGCAUCUUUUCAUGUUAUUCCAGGAGAGCUGAGAUCUUAUCAGACUAACUCGCCUCCCACUCCUCCAAGCUGUCGACUGUCUGCAAAGUAACAAAGACUUGUUUGGUAUUUUUCUUUCUUAUGCGUGCUGCUUCUUCUGUGUGCAGCAUGAACUCGGACUGGUCCUUGGCUCCUGGCCAUCGAAAAAGAAAUAAAAAACUCCACUCAUGAGGAUAUUUGCAUUCGAGAAUGAUAUUAUUGGGUUCCUUGAUGAAGCGGACUUAAAGCUGCCCCUCUGACACCCAAUGAAUUGCAAAAAGGCUUUAUUGCCAUGAAGGAUUUCAAAUAUCCCAGAGCGACAGCAUACAAUCUUUUUAAUCCCAAAAUGAUUUUGCAGAAUUCAAAUUUCCAUUUUAAGUGCCACACACACCUCACAAUUCCAAGAUAAAUGAGAAAUUUCUUCUCUGCCUUUUCCAGGGGCACAUUUGCACACUCCCAUAAUAGCAAGACCCCAUCAGCACACAAUGUCUGGUGCAGAAAGUACACUGGGGCCGAUAACUUUCACUUAGAAGCUGCAUGAUGAAACGUGCAGCUGCAAGAGACCUUCUCAUCUAAUGUUUUAUCUUAAUGUGAAAUGAAGGAAUUGCAGUGAUUGGAGAGCACCUUAAUAACAUGUCAUUCCUACAAAAAAAGUGACAUUUAUCUGACUUUGCUGGUUGCUGGUUCAAUCCCAGCUUCUACAGGUCUGAAUCACCUUCAUUUACUUCCACUACAACCACCUGCUUUGACAAGAGCCACAUCUUUGUGGCGGCAGGUAAUUUUACUUAUUAGAAAUGCAAUCUUUAUCCCACAAUCACUACCAAUUUUAUCCUCAUAAGAGUUUCUCUGAACAGUCAAGUAAAGUCCUUUCUCACAAAGACCAAGUUUGAAAUACAAAUCAGCUCAAAAAUGCCAAAUCAUUCAAGAGAUAUCUGAUUUUUGGGAAACAUGACAGAGAAGCUUGAGAAGCCUGUCUCCUUCUGCUCAUCUGUGCUGUGAUGUUAUCACUCAAGCGUACAUAAAGAGCAAGUUAUCCACAUUUGAACAUAUGAACAGUGAUCUGGUUAGCAAGCAAGUGGGGUCACACUAGAUCAGUGGUUUAUGGCAGUCGCACAAAAGCAAUUUCCUUUCAAAAACCUCCCUCUGUGCAAUCUAAGCUUCGGAGACAUGGAGAGUAAGAGGGAGAGAGAGAGGGUGAGUGAGAGAAAUGACAGCUGACAAGUUGACACCUGCACCUUCUCCACAAUAUUUGUACCUUCAUGAGCCUCUGAUUUGCCUAAAAGCUUCUGAUUUUGCACAUUACAUUACAGGGUUUUAUGCAGGUUUCAUAAUUUAUGCACGUGUAAAGACAGGGAAUAUGUCGUACAUGUAUGUUUAGGGGGUGGACAACAUAACUGAAAGUAAGAUGAGCAAAUUAAAGUGACUUAUGAACAGGCUUAACGAGGCACAGUUAUUAUUAGAAGUAAUCAGAUAUAAUUGACAAGGCUCGACGAUGUGACCGUUUCACUUGCAUUUGCAGUUAAAAAUAGAUGUGUGCAUAUUGUAAAAUGUAUCCAGGGGCACAUGUGCAUGUAAAAAAAAAACAACCGAGCCGACAAAUGUUUUUUCAUGUAAAUACCACAGAGAAGUUAGUUUUAGGUUGGAUAUUCGACGGACAUUCCCUGCGGAUCUACUGGUGUCUUCUCACUCUCCAUAACCGGAAAUAGCAACAGCAGCGCGGUUAAAUCUACUCGGCACCCUGGCUGUCAACCUCGGGUGUUAAAUAAGGGACCAUCAAUAAAUUACCGGUUGAUGCUCUCAGAAAAGACUGUUUUCCUUUAAUAGCUUCCAUGUCACAUGACCAAUUGACCUAAAAUUGAUUUCGAAUAUCAGUAGUAAGGUCGGACAAGAAGACACAACUCUUUAUUUUCCUAAUUUGUCCUCCAAAGAUUUUUUGUGUUAAAUUUAAAGGAAAAUUUUGAUCAUUUUCUUCAACAGCUUCCAUUUCAUGUGACCAAAAUACCUAAAAUUGAUUUCAAAUAAUAGUACUUAUGUCGACCAAUAAGACACACAUUAUUUAAUCAAUUUACAUUGUGCCCCCAAAGUUCUUUGUGUGCUCCUUACUUUGUCAACUUAGGAACACAUGCACUCCUUUAGAAAAAAGUUAGUGUCAAGCCCUGAUUGAGGUUGAACCCACUGAAAGUUUUAUCUGAUUCUGUUCAAAUCUCCAUAAAAGCAGGUAUGCUUCCUUCUUUGUUACAGAGAUAAAGUUUUGACCAUAACCCUCUCCUCUACAUGUGCGCAAACCCCCAAAACACUCAAACACAGGCCUUAAAAGUAUCUACCUCUCAUCCCUCCCAUCCUUGUGAUUUUAACCUUAAAGGCAGUUAUACAGGACAUUAUGUAAAAGCAUGUGGUAGAGGCCGGUGAGUGAAGUCAUUGUGGAGGCUAACCUUGAAUAUAUAAGCUCAGGGGUCAAGGCUGAGCGACCUACUGCACAGGACUGAUCUACUCAAGAUAUUGAAUGUAUCCCUGCUUCAGGGGGGCACUUUGCUGCUGACCAUGUGCUUUGACCUCGUUAUGGAGAGGGCAAAAGAUUGACUAAUUUCUCCCAUGGGUAAUGAAGGAAUUAAAAAAGCGGGGACUAAUUGGCAAUUGCAAGGUCUGGACUGAAGGCCGGCGGCUACAGAGGCAGAGCUACAUGGCACAUCCAUCUGAGGAGAUACAGCUUGUAAAACCCACAUAAUCCUUAAAACUGCCUCUGAGGAGCAGGUUUUGAAGACGUGCUUUUAUGUAAUAAUUAUUAUUCUUAUCAUGCUCCUCAGUUUAAUAAGUUUUAAUCCUCAUAAAACUCACAGCUGAAUGAAUUACUCACUUAAAGACUGUUUAUUUGUGGAAAGGUUUUUUUAGGAAACUUUGUUCUCUUUUUUGAAAACCAGUUAAAAGAAGAUUAACAGACAUUUAUGCAUUACUUGCCAUAAUUUAGAGCAAAUCCUACAUAUAUUUAAAGUUCAUCAAGCUUUUCUUGGCUUUUUAAUUAUCUCUAUGAAUAAAUAUCUGCUACUGAACUUUAAAAAAGUUUUUUGUUUCUUUUUGUAAUCUGAUCUGUUUUUCUUGGACCUUUGUUGCAUGUAGGAAAUCCGUCUGAUCAGGCUGCAUUUAUCCGUAGUCUCUGUAAACACAUGGUCUGCUGCUGUUGUUGUUUUACGAGUGCAUCCAAAACCAGAUUGUUAAUUCUCAUUUGACAACAAAAGAGGAAGAAAGCGCUGACGGUAAAAUAAUGAAAAACAAAUAUUCACAUCUGGCAGGGCACACCUGUCUGUGACUGUCAGUGCCUUUGCACCCUGAACAUGCUCUCUUUUUUCUGUAUAAGACCAUGUAAGAGACUCAGUUCACAGCUUGAGCUUUGUGGAGAAGCGUUUAAGAACUGAUUAUGAAUGGCAACACUAUGCCCAAUACGAGUUACCAAGGGGCAUUUUAAAUAACGUUAGCCUACCAUCUGUUAGCCUCUGGAAACUAUUCAAAUGAAUAUUCGCUGCUGAAAUUCCUAGUUGGACUGUAAACGAGGAUCUUGAUCCAAAUAUCCUUUACUGGCUCUAUUAAUAUCAGAGCCCAAUAACUCUACACAAAUGGCUUCUUAAGUCUAGGCACCAAAAUGUCCUGGUUAUAUGAGGUUUAAAGCCUGGAAAGUCGUGACUGUGAUACCUGUGUCAGUUCAGGCAGCCAGGAGUUUCCAACAACGGCCUCUCAAUCAUGGAAAAAUAUUCAAACCACUGAGCUGCUUUUGCUCUCCCCAUUACUGUGUAGUUGUUGUUGGGUUGUGAACUGGACCAUUCUUCACCUGCAGGUCCCACCUACCCCUGGUGUAAUGAACCCCCGUGUGACUUGUUCAAACCUGGACAAUCUAAUCCUCACCCCAUCCAAUCUUUUACAUCGGGGGCUAUUUGCAGGUCUUCCCCAGUCAGGCAAGGACACUAGUCGGUGAUGGACGCAGGAUCUAACACAAUCAGGCUGUGGUCAUGAUUCCCUCAGGGACCUGCUUUAUUCACUUGUUUUCCUCUGUUUGGACUCCCUGAUAUAUGUGCAAAGCUGUGCCCUGGGGGAGGCAUUCAGCGAGGCCUUCUUGAAAUUCCACUUGUAAAGACCCCCGGAGGUGGAGAGGAGCGGUGGAUUGGUGAGAGGAUUGUUGUUUCAUAGUCCUGGCCGUGGAUGUUAAAGCUCUAAUCUCCCCAAGGUCAAAGGCAGGUAUUUGUGAUGAGGAGGCCGAUCCCCCUACAUUUUCAUUUAGGACUCCUUCUGGUAAAUAGACUGACCACAGCAUGCCACCCUAAAGCAGCUCAAAUGGCCUCUCUCGCUUCCUCAGAAGAUCAUCGCUAAGGAAGAGAGAUGUGAGCCUGUGUUUCCCUACAUCUACACCGAUCUCAUGUGCACUAGUAUGCUGUCCUUUCAUAUGUGUGUUAAGGUCAUCGCUGUAUUUUUGUGAUGGAUAAGACACGCAACAUAUAGAGUUUAUAAUACGUGAGCCUCAUAAAACAUACUUGGGUUAGCUUUUCCUGCUGUCAGAUGGUUUGUCUGUGCUGAUGCGGAUAUUUAUAGCGCUGGUCUACCAAUGGCUGAUAUAUAAUGUCGAUAUUACCUCAUUUGUUACCUCAGUAUGUUCACACUACACGCUGCUCUGUGCCUCAUAGUUUGGCCGAAAAAAUUGGUCCGAGGCCUGGGACGAUUAAUCUAUAAAUCAAUUAACCGCACGAUAAAUGAAAAUGAACUCAAUCAUUUUUCCGGCCUUGAUACAUCGCCAUGUGCAUGCAUGUUUUUGUUUUCCUCAUCUCGCGCCACAGAGGGUUCACUCUGUGCAUCGGUCUCAGCACCUGGACGCAUUUGUGCCAUAGCGUAAUGAAAUGAAGGGAGUGAACUAUCUGGUCAGAAUCUUUGCAUCUUGGGAGGAGCAUGGAAGAGCAAAGCCAAAGGCCACAGCCCCGGUGUGGGAAUAUUUCGGCUUCAAGUCCAAUGAGCAAGGUGGGACCAUCAUCACAAACAAGCUAAUGGGCCGACUUUGUUUAAAAAUGGUAGUGACAAAAACAGCAACACAACAAACCUGCAUGUCCACCUCAAUCACUAUCACCCGGUCGAGUUUUCCCAGCUGGGGAAAAAAAUGCACCCCAAGAUGCAGAGCCAUCGGCCCUACAGUCAACGUUUACUGAAGCGUUCGGUCGACAAAGCAAGCAAAGCUGGAACAGCGCAAAAUGGUGUGGGCUUAUAGAAAGAGUAGUUCGCUCCAUUGUCAAAGAAAUGCUGCCAUUUAAUACGACUGAAAAGCCAACAUUUUAUUUAUUUAGGAUAUUUAAAAGCAUUUGAAUGGGUGUACUUGCAUUAUAAUGAUAUAUUACUCGAAAUUUCCCUCUGUGGGACUAUUAAAGGAACAUCUUAUCUGACAUUACAUACGUUUUUAUUUUGGUCUAGAAUAGAUAAUGUUGACAAUAAAAUCUUUUAUAUCAUCCAGCAAAAUUUGUAUUCCUCCCAGGCCUAGUUAGUCCUGUUACAUGUUGUUAUCCUUGUGAAAUACGAACAAAAAUAUAGCUUUACUGGGAAUGCAAUGUUCAAAGAUGACGGGUACAUUAUAGCAAAUGCAAAUGAACAGAGCUGUUAUAUAUCCAAUAGACUGCAAGAUGUUUUCAUCAUUACAGUGUUUAAACACCAGUGCUUCAUUUGAACCUGAUUAGUUUUGAAAAUUGUAUUAUGCAGGUCAAGACGGGGGUUAUAUUUUUGGGUUAUGAAUAGAGGCAAAUUCACAUUACAAGUCUUUUUUAUUUAGUUCAAUAUAAUGAGGUUCAAAAUAAAUCAUCAGUUUUACAGCUGUGAAAACUUUUCUUUUCAUACAGAUUUAGUUUGGUAUGUGUACACAGUACGAGAAGUCCUGUGCUGCAACGGUUCAGUACAUGCAUAGCUUUAAGGCUAAAACAUACAGGAUCCACAACGAGCACAUAACGUCAGCGUCAGGUGGCACACAGCAAAUAGGCUGCUAUUCUAAUCAAUGCAGCGUUGCAUACAGGACGCCUAUCAGCUCCGUCACAGCUCCGUAUCAGAAGUGUAUCAAGUGCAGCACUGCUAAAGAUACGCGCCGAGUCUAUUUUUGCUGCUCUACACGUCAGUCCACCCAGAGAAGAUCGUUCUAGACAGGAUGUUAAGCACGAAAAUGGUAUUUCAAAAUAAAACACCAUAUGCAAACUCCCGACUGUGUAUCAGUUCGUGUAGAUGAAAAAAUACUUCCUGGUUAUGGAUUUAUCAGUAACACAGAACAAUCUGAUGGUCAAUCCCUGAUCCAUGUGGACCCCAACAGGACUUUUAACUGCUAACUCAGUCUGAAGGUAACAGCACAGCAUAAAGGAACAUAGUUUACUUCAUUAAACACGAGUAAACCUGCAAAAACAGAAACUGUAAAAUCACCUCAUUUUCACAUGUGAAGUGCAAAAUAAACAAACAGAAAAUGCUGCAAUGAGACUCCCGCUCCUCACCAGCUCAAGUCUGGGUAUUUAAAUCGUGAAGGAGAAAGAUUAUAAGAACCUCCUAAACCAUGAAAUUUCUCCUCUUUGGUGACAUUGAAAUGUCAUUCCACUUGGUUAAGAGGAACUGCGCUCUACAAUACCAAAUGCUGGUGUCAUUUUCUGGCUUUCCUCGUGUGUAUGGCUUCAGCUACAAUACUACAGCAGGGUGCAGAAAUGUUCAAAUGAGACUGAGAGGGAUCCACGCAGCCUGUGUCUUUUGAGCCCAAUGUCUCCAGCUGAUCUGAUGGGAUUACACCCCGGGAAUGGGAAAAAUUCCCCACCUCUUGAUGCACAUCUUUCAUCACAUCAGAUGCCCUUUUCUGAGAGGGGCAGGGAGUGAGAAUAUGGUAGAGGAAGGAAAAGAGGGAGGGUGAUGGAAAAAUGAUAGAGUGAGGAGGAUGUAGAGGGAGGGAGAGACAAAGUGGGGAUGGAAAAUGACAAUAUAAUAUGAUUUGAUUUGUGGGGCAGAAUGGAUUCUCAGUGCCCAUUUUCUGAAAGAGAGGAGAUGGGGAGCAAAGAGAGGGAGGGGUGAGGAACAUAGAGGAGGGUGAAGGAGGUGGGUGGAGUGUGAACAGUAAGGCCGUGGAGUUCAUUUAGCACUCUCGCCGAGUGCUGGUUUGACAGCUGCUGGUGGGGGCAUUAGACUGCUCGCUUUAGUCCAAUUUUGUUCUCCUUUUCUCCCUGUAUCCCCCUCUUUCUCCUCCCCUCUGUCUAUAAUAGCUGUCUUUGUCAGACCUUUAGUGUCCAUCACUGCAGACUAUAGAUUUCAGUGGCCCAGCAGGACUCAUAACACUGGCAAACACAACAUUAUAAUUCAUUAACGGUCGCAAAAUAGCUGCAGGCGACAGGACAUUUUAGAGGUCAGAAAUUAGAAGAAAAAAAAAAAGUCUGUUUCCUUGAUGCUUGUGGCUCGAGAAGUUUGCUGCUAAAGUGAAACGUUUUAACUGUCAUUUGAGAGGCAUGACACCUGCUCUCUGAGAAUGAUUGACAGAACAAAUUUGAAUAAAUUCAGACGAAUCUGACGUAUCCUCCACUUGGAAAAACAAGACACUUGCUCUUGCAAAUUGAGCGACUGGAAAUAAGUCAUUUGCAAGGAGAGUCCAGUACCUGGUUAUUUUCAAUUUAAUGCCAGCAACACAUUGAAAAAAAAAGUUGGGGCAGGGCAUGCUUACCAUUGUGUUGCAUCACUUCUUCUUUUAACAACACUCUGGGACUGUUUGGGGACAGAGGAGAUUAGUUCCUGGAGUUUUAAAAGUGAAAUGUUGUCCCAUUCUUGCCUCAGAUAAGAUUUCAGCUGCUCAAUACGAAAGAUAUUUGUCUUAUUUUUAUCAGAAGUUUUUUUAAGUCAAGACUCUAACACCUGGACUAUUCUACUACAGAGCCACUCUGUUGUAAGACAUGAAUAAUAUGGUUUAACAUCUUCUUGCUGUAUUAUGCAAAGUCUUUCCCGGAGAAGGCACUGUCUGGGUUAAAGUAUAUGUUACCCCAAAUCCUGUAUAUAACUCAGCAUUGAUGGUACCUUCCCAGAUGUGUUAACUAACCAUGCCAUGGGCAGUCAUGUGUCCCUGUACCAUCAAGAAUGCUGGCUUUUGAGGGGUGCAUAACAAGGCUAGUGGUCCCUCUCCAUUAAAGAGCAGACAUUGCAGUGUCCACGACUUCCAACUUCCCACUUCACCUCAGUCUAUCUUAAAUGGGUCCAGACCCUGAGAAGGUACCAGUACUUGAGGACUAUGUUGAUGUAUGGUUUCCUCUUUGUAGUUCUAACCUGCAUUUGGGGGUUUGGGGAGAACUGUGUUCACUAACGGGGGUUAGUUUAAGCGAUUUUAAAGGGAUAUUCCGAUGUAAAAAUCAAGUUAGGUUCAAACACACCGUAACACAGAGUUAGACACCCUGUCCGGAGAUGAAUGCCGACCUCUUGAUUCUCUAGAUACACCAACUUUAGUAAUGACCGCACGAUAACAAUACACAGCGGUCUCAGAAGCCACACGCUCAACCAAAAAGCCACUCUUUAGCCACAAAUAAUGCUCAGAACAUCACUUAACUUCAUCAACAGUACAUAUAGGGUCCUAGUCACCAAAUAUCUUUUUAGCUUCUCUCGACGGGGUGUCUAACUCAGUGUGUUUGAUCCUAACUUAAUUUUACGCCGGAAUAUCUCUUUAAGCCCGUGUAGUGGUUUCCACCACAGAGUCAUGUCUGUUUAUAGUACCCUAACCCGAACCCUGAGAGACUCAAUGAGCACAUACAUUACAUUGUGUUGUUUCAUUGAAUUAAAACCAAUGAGAAUAACAAAUUAAUACUGUUUUUUGCCUUUCAAAAGGCGUUUGUAUUCAUCAUUCGAUCAGAUGUUGUGAUGUACCAUGAAGAUUUUUAUUACAGUAUCAGUCCUGUGAAAUUGUUGUUCUUGUGGUUCAUGCACUGAGUAUCAUAGUAUUUUAUCAGACUGCGAGUCACCCUGCAAUUCCUACUUCUAAUCUUUAUUUCAUUGUUUAUUUGACAAGAACAAAUGUAUGAGACAUUGCUUUAAUACUGUAUACAAAGUAGAUGCCAUGUAUUUCCAGUUUCCAGAGAUAAAAAUAGAAAAUACAAAGGACUGAGUACAAGAUACUAGAACCAUUUAACACAUACAAUAGGAUCAAUGUAUGUAAUCAAUGAAGGACUUAAAGAUCUAGACCAGCUAGAAUAGACACAAGAAAGCAGUUGUACAGUGACCACGUUUCUAAGUGCACAUAAGGUGUGCAUGUCCUGUAUAUGUUUGUGUGUUAGACUCCACAGUUACUGCUAAUUGACCCCAACAUAUCCAGACAAAUAAAAUACUCCAUUUCCUUUACGCGGACAAGCAUGCGCUUUGAUAAUCCUUCAAAAUAUAGAAUAAAACCGGGCUUUGAUUCAAGUGAAUCCAUUUCCAGGCCUUGCUUCCACAGAAUGACUGUUUUUUACUAGCAGCUAAGAGGCAGCCAUAAUUACUCCUGUCAAGGGCCUGAACCCUCUCAGAGAGGAGCAAAACAACAUUACCUGUCAACAAAUAUGUCUGCCUCACUGUUUCUAUCCCUGUCUCCCUCUUUUUUUGAUUUGCAGUUCAAAGAGCAUCAAUGGUGUGAAAAAGAUGAGCAAAUAUUUUCAGUAAUACCAAAUAAAGCACGGGUAUAAAAAUAACCGAGGAUGACACAAACGGAAUAUUUUUAGUUGAUUGAAAUCCGUUCCCACCUUCUGGAUAAGUGUUAGAGUUUUACUCUUAUAAACACAUAAAUACAGUACUUGUGAAACUCACCAUACAUAUUUAAUGACCCUGACAAGGCCCAGCUUGCAUCUUUGUGGCUUUGCAAUGAGGAGGCGUCAAAGGAAAUACGAUUAAAACUUGAUCUAAAGCCAUAUUUUCUGCUGUAUAAAUAGUUUCAGCACCGGUAUCAGAACUAUUUCUAAUUACAUUUGUGUUUCUUUUCCACCAGCAUGUUCUAGAAGUGCACAUGAUGUAACCUAAGGACAUCUCUGUGCAGAUCUUGAAAUGAGUGUAAGUGAAUAUGAAAAAUGUUUUUCUGUGUUUCAGUAUUUAUGAUCAUCGCCCAGCCCAUAAAGGAUUCACUAUAAACAGUAAAUAAAAAGUGUUCAAGUUACUGACUGGUAUGUGGGCUACAGUUUGAAGGCUAAGUUCAGCGGUCUUGCCCUCUUGUUUUCUGAGAAGUGAAAAAAAAUAUUGAACUCGAAGGCUGAAAACAGAUUUUUACUCCGAUAUCCUUACUUAAAGGUCACUGUGGUACUUAUUAGUGAAUCACAUGUAAACAAGCCAUGAAGCUUCUCCUAUUUUACAGUGUAAUUUAAUCUAAGAGGAUCAUUAUUUAAUAAUUGAACAUCUUUCUUUUUAAAGAGGCAUGGAGCUAGAGAUUUACACCGUGAACUUUUGAUAGAAAUGUUUACUAACGGUACAAAUGAACCCUGAAGUUUCAUUUUUCUGGCCGACUCAGACAUUUUUGGAACCACUGGUCCCUCCCCGUGGGAAAUAAUGUAGAUUUAAGGCUUUACUUUAAAACUAAGAGACAGCAUGGACAUCUCAUAUGCAGCCCAGAGGAGUAUUCAUUUGAAACCAUAAGUAGAUUCAGGGACGGUUACUCAAAAGCAGGAGAUUCUAAGGGAAAAAAAAAGUUAAAGUGUCGGGGAGUGAAGACCUCUGAGUGCUCACUUAAGUUUGUCAAAAAACGGAGUUAAUUGAUCUAUCUUUAAAUACUCAAACUUACAUAAAAAAUAAACAUAUUUGGAGCCUUCAUGAACCAAAAAUGAUUAAAUCUAAAACUUAUUUCUUCAUUUACAUAAAUUUCACUAGAGUUCAACCCUCCAAACUUUCUCUUAUGAGUUCACUGGUAUCUGCUCCAGUGGUAUCUGUCCUUGACACUGUUGCACAUUAAAUGAGAGUUCUCCUUCGCUAUGUUUGCUAGAGAUUUAAAUACAUGAAUAAUGAAUGAAUAACACAUUUAAAUUGUAUGUAUAUUAAAAACUAUGCAUGAUAUAAGUUUGACUGCUAUGAGUGACAGGUGAGAGCUUCGAGGUGUGUGCCAGGUCUCACCUCGGCUAAUUCAAGCCACUAAAUUUAAUCUUUGGGGUAUCGCAGUGAGCAAACUAAUCAUAAACGUUCUACGUAUGUUAUACAAUAAUAUGUGAAAAGAGAGUAGGACAGGAUUCAAAGUGAAACCAUUUAGGUUAGAAUACGAUGUUUACAAUAAAUGAUAUACCUUAUUAUAUGAAAUUAUUAUGUUAUACAAUGCAAUAUGAUGGGAUGCGUUUAAAUACAAUAAAAUUACAAUAAACUGUGAUAUCAUACUAUAUACUACACUGCAUGAUACAAUACAAAACAAUGUAUUACUGUGCAUAAGACUCAAUAAAAUACAGAACAAUACCCCAUGAACUGCCAGAUAAUGUGACUGACAGUAUGAGAUUAAUUGAUCAGGGUCAACAGAUACUGAUACAGAUAAAUAGUCCGUCAAAGAGAUCGAUAACAGAUAUUAGGACCUGAAAACUUUGCUCUAAUAUCUUUGGCAAAUGUUCAAUCAAGACAGAAAUAUUCAACAUCAUAUACAGGUGUGAAAAGUUAACCAGAUACACCAAAAGUACAGCUAGCAAACCACUUGGUUAAAAAAGUUAAUUGGCUAAUUAUCUGUAGAAUAAAAGGCUAUUACAGAUAAACGGCCAAAAGCUGAAUAUUGUCCCCUAUAAUCACUCAGCCAGGUGAUAUGAUAUGAUAAAAUAAGAUCAGAUUCAAUGUGAUAUGAAACAAUAUCGGAUAUGAUAUGAUUGCAUACAUUAGAAUGUCACCAUGAUCAGUUCUUCAUGGAAAUGCAAUCAGACUGAGAAAAUGAAUAAAUGUGGGGAUUUUAACAUCAGGGAAAUAAUAAACGAAUGAUCAUAAAUGUUCUUCCUUGAGCUGCGUCACCCCGCUGCAGUCAGGGAUGGACUUGUCCGAAGUUUCCGUACAAACAAGCGGCUGCUGGAAGAGAGUAGGUGAGUUGUGCUUCGUCUCUUUGCUAAAGAAAUUAGGCAAAGUUAAAAAGAUGUUUGUUGGCUAGUACUAUGGCUGGGACCCUAUAUGUACUGUUGAUGAAGUUAGGUGCUGUUCUGAGCAUUAUUUAUGGCUACAGAGUGGCGUUUUGGUUGAGGUUUGUUUGUGGCUCCUCAGACCGCUGUGUAUUGCUAUCCUGUGGUCGUUACUAAAGUUGGUAUAACUAGAGAAGC